rnacentral:rRNA from 1 species
AUGGCUCAGUGAGGCCUUGGGAUUGGCCAGGGGAGAUGGGCGACCAUCACCCCAGGCCGAAAACUUGGUCAAACUUGGUCAUUUAGAGGAAGUAAAAGUCGUAACAAGGUUUCCGUAGGUGAACCUGCGGAAGGAUCAUUACCGAGUUAGGGUUCUCUCCUGAGGCCCGACCUCCCAACCCUGUGUCUAAUAAACCUGUAUGUGUUGCUUCGGUGGACCGGCAGUCCCUUCACGGGGGUCCGUCGCCGGGGGGGAGAACGGUCUCACAGGCCGCCCCUGGAGAGUGUCCGCCGAUGGCCCAACCAAAAAACUCCUAAACUCAAACUGUUGUACCUAAAACUUCUGAAUCAGACCUUUUUGAUGUACCAAUCAAAAACAAAACUUUCAACAACGGAUCUCUUGGUUCUGGCAUCGAUGAAGAACGCAGCGAAAUGCGAUAAGUAAUGCGAAUUGCAGAAUUUCCGUGAGUCAUCGAAUCUUUGAACGCACAUUGCGCCCUUUGGCAUUCCGAAGGGCAUGCCUGUUCGAGCGUCAUUAUCCUCUCUCAAACCUCGGGUUUGGUGUUGGACCGUGUUGGACCUCCCCAUGGCCAACUGGUCUCAAAGACAAUGACGGCGUCCCAGGGACCCUCUUCGCACUGAGCUUUCUGAAGCACGCGUUGAGUUUCACGGGCCCAGGGACCCGGUCACCCCUAAAACUUCUUAAGGUUGACCUCGGAUCAGGUAGGAAUACCCGCUGAACUUAAGCAUAUCAAUAAGCGGAGGAAAAGAAACCAACAGGGAUUGCCUCAGUAACGGCGAGUGAAGCGGCAACAGCUCAAAUUUGAAAUCUGGCCUCACGGUCCGAGUUGUAAUUUGUAGAGGAUGUUUUGGGCACCGCUCCGGGUUAAAUUUCUUGGAACAGAAUGUCAAAGAGGGUGAGAGUCCCGUCUUGGCCCGCGGUAGGACCUAUGUAAAACUCCUUCGACGAGUCGACUUGUUUGGGAAUGCAGGUCAAAAUGGGUGGUAAAUUUCAUCUAAAGCUAAAUAUUGGCCAGAGACCGAUAGCGCACAAGUAGAGUGAUCGAAAGAUGAAAAGCACUUUGAAAAGAGAGUUAAACAGUAUGUGAAAUUGUUGAAAGGGAAGCGCUGGCAACCAGACUCGAGCGCGGUGUUCCCCCUUGCUUCUGCCUGGGUUAUUUCACCGUGACCGGGCCAUCAUCAGUUUUGGGGGUUGGUUAAAGAUUUGGGGAAUGUAUCCUCUCCUUCGGGGGAGGACUUAUAGCCCUGGAUGUCAUGCAGCCUUCCGGGACUGAGGAACGCGCUUCGGCGAGGAUGAUGGCGUAAUGGUUGUCAGCGACCCGUCUUGAAACACGGACCAAGGAGUCUAACAUCUAUGCGAGUGUUCGGGUGUCAAACCCUUGCGCGGAAUGAAAGUGAACGGAGGUAGGAAGGCUUGAGCCUGCACUAUCGACCGAUCCUGAUGUCUUCGGAUGGAUUUGAGUAAGAGCAUAGCUGUUGGGACCCGAAAGAUGGUGAACUAUGCGUGAAUAGGGUGAAGCCAGAGGAAACUCUGGUGGAGGCUCGCAGCGGUUCUGACGUGCAAAUCGAUCGUCAAAUUUGCGUAUAGGGGCGAAAGACUAAUCGAACCAUUGGUAAUCACUACUAGGUGGUUAAGAGUCGUGUGUGAAAAGCACCGGCUAGUCGCGAGUCCGCGGCAAGGUCGUCAAAUUGCGGGAACACCCUAAAGCCUGAGGUACCGCCGACUGUCCCGAAAGGGCGUGAGGCACCACGGAGAGAUUUCGUGGGUACGGUAACAAUCCAAGGGAUGGCCUAGGUAGACCCUAGGCCGCUGUAAUGGGCAAUCCGCAGCCAAGCCUGUCCCCUCCCUUCCGGGGGGGGGGAAUUGGGUGCAGUUCAUCGACUAGAUGUCGACCGGGUUCUGGGCUUGUUGAAGCCUGGAGCCUCAAGAUAUAGUCAGGCCCUCGGGGAGACCCGAGCGGAGGAAUAAAGUAAAGGGGGUCGGACUCUUACAGAAGCCCGCUUUACCCGAGUCCCUCCCGGCCGGUCUUAUGAGAGACCGGUGAUCAA